AAAAUGGGCCGCUCUGUUACUACAGAUGCAACAAGUGCCAGUCCACUUUUUCUCAGCUGCACCCUCUCAGUUCAGGCAGCAGCAGUACCAGGUGUAUGUACAUAACUUCCAAGACACACGAGUGCAAUUCUGAAGCUGAUUUUCAGCCAUGGAGAGAAGAAAUGCAGGAUGCAGCCAAGAGUCAUUUUACUAAAGGCACAGGGAGAGGACACAUCAAAGGAAAAGGUCCAUCAAAUCACAAUGUUCCGUCAGGCGUGGGGACACCUGCCUUGCUGAUAUGUCUGCAAUGUUCCAAACUGGCAAGGUCUCAUUUGUCUUCCAAGCUUCCUAUUAUGCACAUGAUUUUGGGGCUGUCCUACACCCCACUUACAAAAACAGAGGAAGAUGUAAUAGAGGCAGC